rnacentral:rRNA from 1 species
AGCUAUAAGAUGAUAUUUUUAGUUUAACCUGCCCAAUGUGAAAAUGAAUGGCCGCGGUACCCUGACCGUGCUAAGGUAGCGUAAUCAUUUGACUUUUAAAUGGAGUCAGGUAUGAAUGGGAAAACCGGGUUUAACUGUCUCUAAAUUAAUUAUUUGAAUUUACUGUCUAAGUGAAAAAGCUUAGAUAAGGAAAAGGGACGAGAAGACCCUUAGAAUUUUUUUUAAAGAAUUUUGUUUCUGUGAUUUUGUUGGGGUGACAGAGAAAUAAAUAAGAACUUUCUCUUAAUACAAGCCGAAUUUUUUAAGGAGGAAUAAAUUACCUGAGGGAUAACAGCAUAAUUCUAAAAUUGAGUUUGUGACCUCGAUGUUGGACUAGGAAACUAGCAGGCUAGCCGUUUGCUGUGUGGGUUCUGUUCGAACUAUAAUUCCU